UUCUAAAUGAGGUGGGAGAGGAGAGUAACCGUUCCCAAGAAAGGCACCUGCUUUCUCCAAUUUAUCAUCUGGACAUUUGCAAACGCUGUGGGAAUCUAAGUUGCUCCUAUCUUACCCCUGUACCUGAGCUGCUUUAGAAACCAGCACACCAAAUAUGAUGGAAGUAUAUAGGUCAGCCACAGAGACCCAACAUUGAUUUCCAGAAGUUAAACACACAGGAUUCUUCUGACUUGAGAUAUGUUUUGUGCAGUUCUCCCACACUGUAAGGUCUGGAAAACAUCAAGAAAUCUAAUUAUUUUCAGAGGAUGCUGAUCAGGAGAAGAAAAGAAGAGGAAAAAAAAAGCUUCCUGCAAUAAUUGAAACUGGCAUCAACUUUUAUAUAACUUCCAAAUAGUAGUGAUUGGAUCAAUAAAUGCCCACUGAACUCAAUAAAAGUUACAAAAUCU